rnacentral:rRNA from 1 species
AGUGAACGCUGGCGGUAGGCCUAACACAUGCAAGUCGAGCGGCAGCACAGUAAGAGCUUGCUCUUACGGGUGGCGAGUGGCGGACGGGUGAGGAAUACAUCGGAUUCUACUUUUUCGUGGGGGAUAACGUAGGGAAACUUACGCUACUACCGCAUACGACCUACGGGUGAAAGCAGGGGAUCUUCGGACUUUGCGCGAUUGAAUGAGCCGAUGUCGGAUUAGCUAGUUGGCGGGGUAAAGGCCCACCAAGGCGACGAUCCGUAGCUGGUCUGACGGGAGGACCAGCAACACUGGAACUGAGAAACGGUCAAACCUCCUAGGGGAGGCAGCAGUGGGAAAUAUUGGACAAUGGGCGCAAGCUUAAUCCAGCCAUACGGCGGGGGUAAAGAAGUCCUCCGGGUUGUAAAGCCUUUUUGUUGGGAAAGAAAAGCGUCAGGUUAAUACCCCGCUGUUCGGAGGGUACCCAAAGAAUAAGCACCGGCUAACUUCUG